CUCACACACACACAGCACACUAACAGUACCCUCACAAACACAAACAGGACAUUAACAAACACACACACAGCACACUACCAGUACCCUCACACACAAACAGCACCCUCACAAGCGCACACACACACAAACAGCACCCUCACACACAGUACAUUAACAGCAUCCUCACAAGCACGCACACACAAACACCCUCACCCACAUAGCACACUACCAGCACCGUCACACACAUAUCACACUA